CUUGGGGCCUAACUCUGGAUAAUAGCUUGAGUUCAGAUCAGCAUUUUCCACAGAUCUCAACUCCAGAUAUUGCCCCCGGGAAAACAAUUGCCCCAGCAUGCAAGCCUGAGAUUAUAGGGAUUUUCUAUCACGUGUGUUCUGUCUCACCGUUCCAACUCUUUUUUUAAAAUCCAUCCACACAAAAAAUUCACUUUUCCAGGUGGUGACAUUGGACUGUGAUAGACAUUCGAGGAAGUCAGAAGCAGCUGACAGCUCCUGGGUGGGGAAAGGAACACUUUCUGAGACCACAGAACACCCUGUAUUGGAAGGGACCCACAAGGAUUAUCAAGUCAAACUCCUGGCCCUGAAUAGGACCACCCCAAGGGGUCGCACCUGGGAGGCUUGUCCAAAAGCUUCUUGGAUUUUGGCAGGCUUGAGAUCAGUGCCUGCCCCUCUGCUUGCCUCGUGACAAAGCUGUAGACUCCUAGGAGGUUUCCUCUCAAUCUCCUCCAAGAUGAACAAUACCCACUAGCUUUGCCCUUGCAGGAGAGCUGUAGACUCCUAGGAGGUUUCCUCUCACUCUCCUCCAAGACGAACAAUACCCACUAGCUUUGCCCUUGCAGGAACUGAGUUUCUAAAGAGAGGGAAAUGAAUAAUUAAAAAGGCAGAAACUUGCUCUCCAAAACUGUAGGAAGUACAGAGGUGAAAUAUAUCCACUUCUGAGAUGCA
rnacentral:lncRNA from 1 species